UACGAAGGGGGCUAGCGUUGCUCGGAAUCACUGGGCGUAAAGGGUGCGUAGGCGGGUCUUUAAGUCAGGGGUGAAACCUCCAGGCUCAACUUGGAGCUUGCAUCUGAAACUGCCGUGCUAGAGUGUGGGAGAGGAGAGUGGAAUUCCUGGUGUAGCGGUGAAAUGCGUAGAUAUCAGGAGGAACACCGGUGGCGAAGGCGGCUCUCUGGACCACAACUGACGCUGAGGCGCGAAAGCUAGGGGAGCAAACAGG
rnacentral:rRNA from 1 species